UACGGGGGGAGCAAGCGUUGUUCGGAUUUACUGGGCGUAAAGGGCGCGUAGGCGGUCGUGACAAGUCACUUGUGAAAUCUCCGGGCUUAACUCGGAACGGUCAAGUGAUACUGUCGGACUAGAGUACAGAAGGGGCAACUGGAAUUCUCGGUGUAGCGGUGAAAUGCGUAGAUAUCAGGAGGAACACCUGUGGCGAAAGCGGCUCACUGGACCACAACUGACGCUGAGGCGCGAAGGCUAGGGGAGCGAACGGG
rnacentral:rRNA from 1 species